AGAGUUUGAUCCUGGCUCAGAAUCAACGCUGGCGGCGUGCCUAACACAUGCAAGUCGGACGUGAAAGGGGUUUCGGCCCUGAGUAGCGUGGCGGACGGGUGAGGAACGCGUGGGUGACCUGCCCUGCAGAGGGGGAUAACCCUCCGAAAGGGGGGCUAAUACCGCAUGAGCCCGAGAGGGGAAAGACGGUGAGUCGCUGCGGGAGGGGCCUGCGUCCGAUUAGCUGGUUGGUGGGGUAAGAGCCCACCAAGGCGACGAUCGGUAGCCGGUCUGAGAGGACGGACGGCCACACUGGGACUGAGAUACGGCCCAGACUCCUACGGGAGGCAGCAGUGGGGAAUUUUGGGCAAUGGGCGAAAGCCUGACCCAGCAACGCCGCGUGGAGGAAGAAGGCCUUCGGGUUGUAAACUCCUGUCCCGAGGGACGAAGUAGGUGACGGUACCUUGGGAGGAAGCCCCGGCUAACUCCGUGCCAGCAGCCGCGGUAAUACGGGGGGGGCGAGCGUUGUUCGGAAUUACUGGGCGUAAAGGGCGCGUAGGCGGUCUCGGAAGUUCUGGGUGAAAGUCCCCGGCUCAACCGGGGGAGGUCCCAGGAAACCACGGGGCUGGAGUGCUGGAGAGGGAAGUGGAAUUCCCGGUGGAGCGGUGAAAUGCGUAGAGAUCGGGAGGAACACCGGAGGCGAAGGCGGCUUCCUGGACAGACACUGACGCUGAGGCGCGAAAGCCAGGGGAGCGAACGGGAUUAGAUACCCCGGUAGUCCUGGCCCUAAACGAUGAACACUGGGUGUGGGGGGCGCGAAAGCCUUCCGUGCCGGAGAUAACUUGUUAAGUGUUCCGCCUGGGGAGUACGGCCGCAAGGCUGAAACUCAAAGGAAUUGACGGGGGCCCGCACAAGCGGUGGAGCAUGUGGUUUAAUUCGAUGCAACGCGAAGAACCUUACCUGGGCUUGACAUCCCUGGAAUUCCGUGGAAACACGGAAGUGCCUUUCGGGGAACCAGGAGACAGGUGCUGCAUGGCUGUCGUCAGCUCGUGUCGUGAGAUGUUGGGUUAAGUCCCGCAACGAGCGCAACCCUUGUCUGUAGUUGCUACCAGGUAAAGCUGAGCACCCUACAGAGACUGUCGGCGAAAAGCCGGAGGAAGGUGGGGAUGACGUCAAGUCCUCAUGGCCUUUAUGCCCCGGGCUACACACGUACUACAAUGGGCGGUACAAAGGGCAGCCAGCUCGCGAGAGUGUGCGAAUCCCAAAAAGCCGUCCUCAGUUCGGAUUGCAGUCUGCAACUCGACUGCAUGAAGGUGGAAUCGCUAGUAAUCACGGAUCAGCAGGCCGUGGUGAAUACGUUCCCGGGCCUUGUACACACCGCCCGUCACAUCACGAAAGUGGGUUGUACUAGAAGUCGCCGGGCUAACCCUUCGGGGAGGCAGGCGCCGACGGUAUGAUCCAUGAUUGGGGUGAAGUCGUAACAAGGUAGCUGUAGGAGAACCUGUGGCUG
rnacentral:rRNA from 1 species